GUGCUUGCUUUGGCAGCACAUAUACUGAAAUGGGAACAAUACAGAGAAAGUUGUCAUGGCCCUGCACAAGGAUGACAUGCAAAUUUGUGAAACAUUCCCUAUUUUU
ensembl:snRNA U6 U6 spliceosomal RNA